AUGAAAAAGUCAUAGUGUGAGGAGAAGAAUAGAUUUUGAAGAUGGCGAGGUUUUCUUUGCUUAAAAGUUAAAAAAUUGUGGGGGUUAGUUAUUUAUACCCUGUUUAUGUCAAGAUUGGAUACAAUUUUAUUAAAAAAAGGGUUGAUCGGAAAAAUGGGGAGAUAGGUGGCGGCCAGAAGAUAUGAAGCACCACCCUAGCAACCCGCUAACCGUCACUGGCCCACCCACAUCGACAAACAACCUUGUAAUCUAUUGGAAAGCGGCAUGAGACACCUACAACUGUGAUAAUUGCUUAGUGCCCUCUCAAAACUGCUAGAAAACAACUGUGCACUAUGGGAAAACCCUGAUAGAGUGGAAAUUAUAUUAAACUAUACCCCUUAUGUCUAGAAAACAGUGUUCAGAAGAAAGUUGUUCAAACAUCCACUGCAUUUCUUCUAAUCAGCCACACCACACCACCAAUUAGCUCAGGGGCAGCUUGCGGAACUCCUCUGUUAGUCGGAGGCAUUCUUUUAGGUUUUCUGGAGAAACAAAGUCAACAGCAACUUUGGUGCAUGACUACAAGAAAACAAGUACAUUAACCCUGGUUUCCAAGUCAUCGCUUUGAUCGAGGAAACAAGACCACGCCUAAUCACAUCGGAUACUUUUGAGGUUUUCAACAUCGUGGGGAGAGCAACCUUGCCAACCAACAUUGCAUUGGUUGGUGUUAUAUUUACCAUAUACGUUUCUAGAACAUUGAACUUAUAAAAUUUCUAGAAUUCAUUUAUGUGUCAUUUAUGCAAGGGACGUGUGCACAUUUCACUUUCAAACCUUCUUAAGUAAACUUCUUAAGUAAACAUGUUAAGUUGCAAGAAAAAGAUUCCCUCUAAAA